UGAAAAAAAUAUAUCUGGAACCCUUCUUCUUCCUCCAUCAUCAUUCAACAUCGUGAUAUUCAUUCCCACUUGCUUUAUCUCUCUCAACAGCUUUUCAAUCUGACGAGCUUCUCCUUCUUCUCCAUCACUGUUCAAUUAUGCUUCUUUCUGCUUCAUUGCACUGCGUUUAACGCAAAAGCGAAGGAUGCGAUAGGAAAAUCUGAUGCUAAUGUAAAAUAUGUGUUUGUCGUUCCGGUUAGAGCUUUCUCUGGCCUCUGUUUGUGUUGUAAAUUCCGUGAUUAUGUUAUUGGAUCUUGAUUCCUUGAUUGCGUAAACCCUAAUACCAUAAUUCUCGCUUUGAAAGGUAAACAUUUUAAGCCCCUGAUCUCGCGAAUUCGUCGGUGUUUGUCGGCUAAAAUAUUAGAUCUGGGUGGCGUCGGAGAUUGGUUGAAAUCAUUCAAGAUUUCCGUCUUCUUUAACCACAAUUUAAUCACCUCUGAUUUCGUUUUUCAGGUUAACAAUCAAUUCACGGUUUAAUCAUCUAUGUUAUUUUCUCAGAUCUACACACUGAAUAUGGCAUCAAAUCCCUCAAUGAUUUCCUCUCUGGAAAAACUUAUAUCUCUGGGGAUCAAUUGACAAAGGAUGAUAUUAAGGUUUAUGCUACUGUUACUGAGAAGUCAAGUGGGUAUUUUCCCAAUGAUUUUAAUUGGUAUGAUGUUGUUCCUUCAAGCCUUGCUGUUAUGUAUGUUUUAUUUUGUUGAUUAAUUAUUAGUUUUGGUUUUUGUGAUUGGAACUUCAAUUUGAUUUUGAUUUUUAUUUGGUGCUUGGGUUUACUUUUUGAAUUUUGAUUGUGUGGAUAGUUUCCCUGGGAAAGCUCAAGGUGUGAAGUUUACAGAAUAUGCCAGGUAUUCAAAGUAGACACAAGGAAGGAAGCACGAAGACUUGGAUCCAUCUAUGUUUGAGGAAUAACAACUUUACUUUCAAGACGAAGGGAGGAUGAGAAUACACCUGAAAGGGUUGGUAAGAAUCAUAUUUUGAAGCAUUUGGUAUACUGCAGUCAGUUGUCAAAAACAUUCAUCUCUACAAACAGGUUUUAUUUAUGUGAAUUUCUUGAAGCUUUUGAUUGUUAUGGAACAAUUCCCUAUCCAUCA